UGGGGAAUAUUGCACAAUGGGGGAAACCCUGAUGCAGCGACGCCGCGUGAGCGAAGAAGUAUUUCGGUAUGUAAAGCUCUAUCAGCAGGGAAGAAAAAAUGACGGUACCUGACUAAGAAGCACCGGCUAAAUACGUGCCAGCAGCCGCGGUAAUACGUAUGGUGCAAGCGUUAUCCGGAUUUACUGGGUGUAAAGGGAGCGCAGGCGGUACGGCAAGUCUGAUGUGAAAGCCCGGGGCUCAACCCCGGUACUGCAUUGGAAACUGUCGGACUAGAGUGUCGGAGGGGUAAGUGGAAUUCCUAG
rnacentral:rRNA from 1 species